CCCGCAACUGUAUCAUUAUCGGCCGCCCGUGGCAGGCGUAUCAGCUGCGGCGGCCGUGUCUUAUCACCACCGUGCGUCGUCGGAUAUCACGACUUCCAGACCAGGAACCGACGAGGUUCGACGGUCCGUCACCUAACGAUGUUUACAUUUUCCGUCCUUUGACACUGCCGUUGCUUUUCGUUCUUUGACGACCUCGACGUAUGUUUCGCGUAGACGCGCGUCGAAUUGUUUCACCAUUGUUUUUGAUGCCUUUCUUACCGGUUCGCCCCUUGUUAUUGAGUUUCUACAACAAAUCCCCUUCAUUGUUCAUGGUUCUCUUUUUAUCGUCCAUAACACAAUAACAAAGUGUAUUGUUUUUAAUUUUCAACUAGUACCAGCUACUUUAUAUUGCUACUUCAAUGAACGCCACAGAUGAUGAAUAUUGGAAUGAAAAAAGUUUUGAAGGGUUCAGCUUUGAAGAUGAGGAAAAGGAUUUAAAUAGUACAAUUAAAAAAAUACCACCUGAAUGCGAAGGUAUUCAAAUUGGAUCUACAAAAACUAAAUUAGAAAAUAUUGAAUCAUUAGAUACAAUUCUGCCAAAAGAAAUUUUAGAUAAAAUAUUUAUAAAGCGAUCUUCAGAGAUAAAUAAGACAUGCACAACUCAAGAAAAGCAAAAAAAUGUGAAAUCUACUAUAGAAAAUAUUGUUAUGUCAUGUACAUAUACAUUAGAGUCAUUUCAGAGUUUAGAAGAAAAAAUAAUGCUGUUACAAGAAGCUUUGUACACUGAAGAUGGAAAUGCUAUAUUAACUGUUGUUAUAUUUUUAACAAAUACUUUAAAGAAGAGUAUUUUCCACCGUAUUUUACGAGAUAAUCCUGUUGCUGCUUCACAUUAUGUCCACUAUUUAUAUUCAAAACAAUGCAUUAAUGAAUUAGUUGAUACUUUAGAAAUGUUGGGACGAACAAAAGAUGCAAUGAUGAUGCUUUUUAAAUUUGGAUGUCGAAAUCCACAAAAUUGUUUACAAAGAUUCAAUGUAUGUGCCAAUCUAGCAGACGAUCAAUAUGAUAAACAAAUUAUUUCCCAACUAAUAAAUUUAGUUGGAAAAUAUGAUAUGAAGUGUACACAGUUUGCAUCAGUUGUUACUCUGGUAUCGGAUAAAUGCAAGGAACAUCAAAAUAUAAAUUCUUGUCGUAUGUUGGCUAAUGAAUUUAAUUUAAGUUCUAAACAGUUAGAAGCCACAUUAUUAAUCACUUUUUGUCAACUUCAGAAUUGGCUUCAUGUGGAUGACAUGUUUGUCAACAAAAAUUGGCUAGGAAAAGAUAAGUUAGCCUUAUCAUUACCUAUUGGCGAAACUGUUAAAUUGCUACAUCAUAAUGGUGCUCCAUCAUCUUCAUUGACACGAUACUUAAAAUUGAUUAAAGAUUCAGAUGAACGUUUGGAAUUGGCUAAAAAAUUCAAUUGUCACCAUAUUAUAAUCGAUGAUUUCUCAUCUAAAAAGGACCGCAGGGGCUUAUUAGUAUACAAGUCAAUGUUACAGAAACAAACAGAAAGCUAUUUUUACGCAGAUACAAUUUUGAAAAGUCCAAACAUCAAGUGGAAAAAUUAGUACCAUUGAUUAUUUUCCUUAUGUGCGAAAACAUUUGAACAAACUAAGAAGACUGAUUCAGAAUAUGUGUUAGUUAAUUUUUAUGGAUAUUACUGAUGACAAAUUCGAAAAACUCGGCUCAGAAGAACCUCGUGAUAAUGUUGUCAUACCUGCAACAACGUAUAAAAGAAACAUUUUUGGUCGACAAAAAACCUUAUCGGAGACUUCAAUCUACAAUCCCAUCAACCCACAAAACCAGGAUAAAAGUGGAAAAUUUAGUUUGUCGGAUAAAACUUUAGAUAUCAUUACUCAAUGCUUUUGGCAAUGUUCAUCCUGUUAUCAAUGCAAUGAAAAGUCUUGAGCAUUUAAUCAAUCAAAUCAACACCUAGUAUUAUAUAAUAUGAAAUACAAAUGUUAAAAUACCUCAUCAGAUAUUUGGAGAACAUUAAGGUUCAUUUGAACAUAAGGGUCAAAAUACUGCAGAGGUCAAUAUGUCUUAAAUGUGUAUAUUCUGUAUGAUAACUCGUAAUUUCAAAAAUCAAUUUUUCUAAUUGUUAACUUCUGGCUGUGGUUUGUUUUAUGUUAUAAUAUCACUAAAUAUUAAUAAGUCUACUAAAUUUUA